AUUGAACGCUGGCGGCAGGCCUAACACAUGCAAGUCGAACGAGUGGCGGACGGGUGAGUAAUGUCUGGGAAACUGCCUGAUGGAGGGGGAUAACUACUGGAAACGGUAGCUAAUACCGCAUACCAUCAGAUGUGCCCAGAUGGGAUUAGAUUGUUGGUGGGGUAACGGCUCACCAAGGCGACGAUGCCUAGCUGGUCUGAGAGGAUGACCAGCCACACGGGUACUGGGACACGGUCCAGACUCCGACGGGAGGCAGCAGUGGGAAUUAUUGCACAAGGGGCGCUAGCCUACUGCAGCCAUGCCGCGUGUAUGAAGAAGGCCUUCGGGUUGUAAAGUACUUUCAGCGGGGAGGCGUUACCCGAAGAAGAAGCACCGGCUAACUCCGUGCCAGCAACCGCGGUAAUAC
rnacentral:rRNA from 1 species